UGAGAAGCCUGCUGUUGUGCUGCAGAAGAGGCCAGAAACAUCUCCAGCCAGCCUGCCUGUUGCUGCCUCUGGGACUCCUUGUGAGUAGACUGCAGCCCCAGGCCCUUUCCAUCUGGGUGUGACUCAGCACUUCCUAGGAAGGACCAUCUAUAAAGCCUGAGUCCACAAGGCCCUGGCAGGGCUGAGAAGCCUGCUGUUGUGCUGCAGAAGAGGCCAGAAACAUCUCCAGCCAGCCUGCCUGUUGCUGCCUCUGGGACUCCUUGUGAGUAGACUGCAGCCCCAGGCCCUUUCCAUCUGGGUGUGACUCAGCACUUCCUAGGAAGGACCAUCUAUAAAGCCUGAGUCCACAAGGCCCUGGCAGGGCUGAGAGGCCUGCUGUUGUGCUGCAGAAGAGGCCAGAAACAUCUCCAGCCAGCCUGCCUGUUGCUGCCUCUGGGACUCCUUGUGAGUAGACUGCAGCCCCAGGCCCUUUCCAUCUGGGUGUGACUCAGCACUUCCUAGGAAGGACCAUCUAUAAAGCCUGGGUCCACAAGGCCCUGGCAGGGCUGAGAGGCCUGCUGUUGUGCUGCAGAAGAGGCCAGAAACAUCUCCAGCCAGUCUGCCUGUUGCUGCCUCUGGGACUCCUUGUGAGUAGACUGCAGCCCCAGGCCCUUUCCAUCUGGGUGUGACUCAGCACUUCCUAGGAAGGACCAUCUAUAAAGCCUGAGUCCACAAGGCCCUGGCAGGGCUGAGAGGCCUGCUGUUGUGCUGCAGAAGAGGCCAGAAACAUCUCCAGCCAGUCUGCCUGUUGCUGCCUCUGGACUCCUUGCCUACUGCCCCCCUCCCUUUUUCCCAGCGCUGGCCCCUCUUUCUUCAGCUGCAACAACAAUGGCUUCAGCUGCAAUUAUCAUACUUGCAAACUUAUGAAAAAAGGAAGAAGACUAUGUAUUCAAGGAGGUUGGAAAGGUAGUGCAUAGAUGGUAUGUAUACAUACAUGUGUUUAUUUUAUUGUAUUUCUAAUAAAUCUUCCAUCUGACAUGGUACUUCCUGGGAGCAGAAAGAAUAAGUGAAAUUUUAAUACCUUAACAUAAAAAUGUUUCCUUGGCCAAAAAAAGAGAGGCUAUAUGUUUUUGUUUUUUC
rnacentral:lncRNA from 11 species